rnacentral:rRNA from 1 species
CCCUUAGAUGCUCUGGGCCGCACGCGCGCUACACUGGUCGAUGCAACGAGUUUCUUUCCUUGGCCGACAGGCCUGGGCAAUCUUUGAACAUCGAUCGUGAUCGGGAUAGAUUCUUGUAAUUUUUGAUCUUAAACGAGGAAUUCCUAGUAAACGCAAGUCAUCAGCUUGCAUUGAUUACGUCCCUGCCCUUUGUACACACCGCCCGUCGCACCUACCGAUUGAACGUUUUAGUGAGGUAUUUGGACUGGACCUUCGGAGGUUCGCGCCUCCGUUGCUGUUCGGGAAGACUCCCAAACUUGAGCGUUUAGAGGAAGUAAAAGUCGUAACA